GACGAACGCUGGCGGCGUGCCUAAUACAUGCAAGUAGAACGCUGAAGGAGGAGCUUGCUCUUCUGGAUGAGUUGCGAACGGGUGAGUAACGCGUAGGUAACCUGCCUGGUAGCGGGGGAUAACUAUUGGAAACGAUAGCUAAUACCGCAUAACAGUAGAUGUUGCAUGACAUUUGCUUAAAAGGUGCAAUUGCAUCACUACCAGAUGGACCUGCGUUGUAUUAGCUAGUUGGUGGGGUAACGGCUCACCAAGGCGACGAUACAUAGCCGACCUGAGAGGGUGAUCGGCCACACUGGGACUGAGACACGGCCCAGACUCCUACGGGAGGCAGCAGUAGGGAAUCUUCGGCAAUGGACGGAAGUCUGACCGAGCAACGCCGCGUGAGUGAAGAAGGUUUUCGGAUCGUAAAGCUCUGUUGUAAGAGAAGAACGAGUGUGAGAGUGGAAAGUUCACACUGUGACGGUAUCCUACCAGAAAGGGACGGCUAACUACGUG
rnacentral:rRNA from 1 species